AACGAUAUUUUCGUAUUAGAUCGCCCACACGAGUAAUCAAAAAUUUUGAAAGAAGUUAUUUAUUAGUUUUGGUAUGUAAUUUUCUAAUGCAUAUUUCAAUAGAUAUAUGCAUAUAGAUCACUGCAUUUAAUAGAAGAAAAUUUUAUUAAGUUAUUCUCAAAUAAUAACAAAAAAACAUGACUCGCAAAAUAAAGGAGAGUUAUGUAUAUAACCUUUUU
rnacentral:misc_RNA from 1 species